GGCUUCGUGGUGGAGUGGUAAGGACACUUGCCUCUCACUCUGGAGCCUCGGGUUCGAUCCCCGGGGGAGGAGCUA
rnacentral:tRNA from 1 species